UACAGAGGGUGCGAGCGUUGUUCGGAAUUAUUGGGCGUAAAGAGUGUGUAGGCGGUGUUCCCAGUCUGUUGUGAAAUCUCCCGGCUUAACUGGGAGGGUGCAGCGGAAACUAGAAUGCUAGAGGGUGGGAGAGGUAAGCGGAAUUCCUGGUGUAGCGGUGAAAUGCGUAGAUAUCAGGAGGAACACCUGUGGUGUAGACAGCUUACUGGACCACUUCUGACGCUGAGACACGAAAGCGUGGGUAGCAAACAGG
rnacentral:rRNA from 1 species